GAUGAACGCUAGCGGCAGGCCUAAUACAUGCAAGCCGAACGGCAAGUUUGAUAGCAAUAUUGGACCUAGAGUGGCGCAAGGGUGCGUAACACGUAUGCAACCUGCCCGCGGCAGGAGGAUAGCUCCCCGAGAGGGGAAUUAACCCUCCAUAACACCAUGAGAAGGCAUCUGAUUAUGGUUAAACCGCAAGGGGUCGCGGAUGGGCAUGCGGUUGAUUAGCUAGUUGGCGGGGUAAAGGCCCACCAAGGCGGUGAUCAAUAGGGGUUCUGAGAGGAAGGUCCCCCACACUGGCACUGCGAUACGGGCCAGACUCCUACGGGAGGCAGCAGUAGGGAAUAUUGGACAAUGGUUGCAAGACUGAUCCAGCCAUGCCGCGUGCAGGAAGAAGGCCUUCUGGGUCGUAAACUGCUUUUUCCUGUGGAUAAAAUACCCGUGCGCGGGGAAUUGAAGGUAACAGGGGAAUAAGCCACGGCUAACUACGUG
rnacentral:rRNA from 1 species